ensembl:lncRNA
AUGUUCCAUUUUAAUAUAUGUGAAAGUACCGUCUUGGUGGAAAACAUGCAGAUAAACGGCCGUGCGCAGGAUCCAGGUCGAACCAUUUCGCUGACUCUGCUGGACAACUACGACUAUUGGGUGAUUUUGGAACCGGCCCAGCAGCGGCUGUAUCUCAACAGCACAGGACGCGUUCUGGACAGAGACCCCCCAAACUACAUCAUGACCAUAGUGGUGCAAGUCCAGUGCACCAACGAGCUGGUUGGUACUGUUAUUUUCCACGAGGUGCGGAUCGUCGUGAGGGACAGGAACGACAACAUCCCCCGCUUUCAGCAGCCGCGUUACUAUGUUGCCGUCAAUGAGCUCACGCCAGUCGGAACAACGAUUUUCACUGGAUUCUCAGGGAAUAAUGGCGCCACCGAUAUCGACGAUGGACCUAAUGGACACAUAGAAUACAGCGUCCUUUACAACCCCAAUGACCCGGAGUCCAACAAGACAGUAAGCGUUGGAAACACGCUUUCAGGGCACAUUAUCCUGGCAGAGAGGCUAAACUACGAGGAGAGGACACGUUACCUGGUUGUUGUCCAAGCUAAUGACCGAGCACCUUACCCACCCAACAGGCGAACGGCUACAACCACCCUGACCGUGGACGUUCUGGAUGGAGACGACCUGGGCCCCAUGUUCCUGCCGUGUGUGUUAGUGAACAACACGCGUGACUGCAACCCGCUCUCCUACCGCGCUGCUAUCCCUGAAUUCACUGAACCGAGCAAAUUGAACCCACUGAACGUGACCCCCCCGAUUCGUGCCGUGGACAUGGACAGGAACAUCCAGCCUCCAUCCAACAGACCCGGAAUUCUGUACUACAUCCUGGUUGGUCACCCAGCCACAUUUGCAGAGUAUUUCUCCCUGAACAAAACCACAGCGGAGCUGCGCGUUCUGCAACCAAUCAACAGAGACUUAUAUCAGAGGUUCACCCUCAUCAUCAAGGCUGAGCAGGACAACGGACACCCCCUCCCGGCCUACGCCGACCUCAUCAUCGAGAUCCUGGAUGAGAACAACCAGGCGCCGUACUUCCAGCUCGCCACCUAUCAGGGAUACGUGAGUGAGUCUUCGCCGGUGGGUACAACCAUCUCAGGCAGCUCAAACCUGACGACGCCCCUGGAAAUCAUCGCACUGGACAAUGACAUCGAGGAGACAAAAGACCCGUUGGUGAAGAUUUCCCUCGACAACUACGCCACGAUAUUUGGUGUGACUCCGACUGGCAUAGUGCGCUACCUGAGACUGGUUACACCUGUGGACCGGGAGAAGCAGAUGGCUUACACGUUCACGAUGGUGGCAUCGGAUGGUGUCCAGCAGAGCACCCCAGUGACUGUCAACAUCCUGGUCAUCGACGCCAAUGACAACACGCCCACAUUCGCCAAGGCCUCCUACAAUGUUGAAGUCUUCACCGACAUGCAGCCGGGGGAAACCGUUCUCCAGUUAACUGCAGCGGAUGCUGAUGAAGGAUUGAACGGCCUGGUGACGUAUGAGAUAUUGGCCGGGGCCCAGGGACACUUCAUCAUUAAUAAUCGCACAGGUCGCCUCACCGUGGCGCCAGGCGUGGCUUUAACUGUGGGACAGUCUUAUGCACUGACUGUCAAGGCCUCAGACGGGGCUCCAGAAACACAGCGAAGGAGCUCCAUCACCACCGUCUACAUUGAGGUUUUGCCACCCAAUAACCAGAGCCCGCCGCGCUUCCCCCUCCUCACCUACAGCCUGGAGGUCAGCGAGGCCAUGAGGAUCGGAGCGAUCCUGCUCAAUCUGCAGGCCACAGACAGAGAAAAUGACCCCAUCACUUACCGCAUUGUGAGCGGAGAUUCCCAGAAGGUGUUCAACCUCUCUGAAACGAUCGGGCUGUUACUUCUGGGGAAGCCUCUGGACAGAGAGAGCACAGAUCAGUACCGCCUGAUCGUCACAGCCUCCGAUGGGAACCCUGGAGGGACUUCCACCACCACGGUCGACAUUGUCGUCACAGAUGUCAACGACAACGAUCCCAAAUUUGACUUCGCCAUACCUGUUAACUUCACCGUCCGAGAAGAAGAGGCCGACCUUUUUGUGGGCCUUGUGAGGGCUACAGAUCCAGAUGCGGGGGCUAACGGCCAGGUGGGCUACCGGAUCAUAAAUCACCCCGACUUGUUUGUGAUCAGUGCCAAUGGCAGCAUCUACACGAAGGUGCCUCUGGACCGGGAGCUCCGGAGCCAGUAUGAUCUUGUUGUGGAGGCGUCGGACGGGGCUGUGGAUCCACGGCGGACCACCUUGACCCUCUCCAUCCAGGUCACAGAUAUUGAUGACAGCAGUCCGGUUUUCUCCCAGCAAAAUUACGUGGUGAAUGUUCCAGAAAACACGCCUGUGGGGACCGUCGUAUUGAAGCUAAGCGCAACAGACUCGGACCUCUUCUCCAAUGUCACCUACCGGAUCAGGACUGAGGCAGCCCGACAGCUGUUUUCUCUGAACCCUAUUACAGGGGAGCUGGCUGUGCUGCAGACGCUGGAUUUUGAGGACCUGGCAGCUUUGGGCAUUGGGACCUCUUAUGCUUUCCAGGUAGAGGCUAUAGACCAAGGAGGGAUCAUGCCCCCGGGGCAGGCAACUGUCACAGUCCGCAUCACGGACAUGAAUGACUUCUCACCCGUGUUUAGCCAAGACCUGUACAAAGGCAUGGUGGCACCCAAUGCAGAGAAAGGAACGGUGAUAACAACGGUGUUAGCGGAGGAUCGGGACCCUCCGGAUACCCCAGCCAGCUUUGUCCGCUACCGAGUUGACCUGGACAGGUCUCCCUACAGCGGCAGCAUCUUUGACGUGGAGGAGGAAACGGGAAGAAUCGUCACUAAGGUCAACCUCAACGAAGAACCCAGCGUCACCUUUAAGUUGUUUAUCAUCGCCUUUGACGACGGCGAACCGGUGAAGACCAACAGCACUCUGGUGGAGAUCACUGUCCUCCAGCCCUCUCGGAUCCCCAUCUUCACCCAGGAGGAGUACAGGUUUCCUCCAGUAAGCGAGCUGGCUCCAUUCGGCACCCCGGUGGGGACGGUUCUGGCUGCUGCUGUCAAUCAAAGCAUCUUCUACUCCAUCGUAGGAGGCAAUGAUUUAGGUCAUUUUCAGAUCAACAACAAGACAGGCGUCAUCUCCACAGCCAAACCUCUGGACUACGAAAAUGUGACAAGCUACGUCCUGCGGGUGCAGGCGGACUCCAUGGAGGUCGUCAUGUCCAACCUGCGCGUUCCCUCUAAAACUAACACAGCCAAGGUGUUCAUCGAAGUGCAGGAUGAGAAUGACCACCCACCCGUCUUCUCCAGGAAGCUCUACAUCGGCGGCGUGACAGAGGACACCAAGAUCUUCAGCUCCGUGCUCAAGAUAGUGGCCACUGACAAGGACACCGGGAAUUACAGCGAGAUGGCGUACCGCCUGAUUAUUCCGCCCACCCAAGAGGGCCAGGACAGCUUCGUCAUCGAGACCUACACAGGCAUCAUCAAGUCGGCCAUCAUGUUUCGGAACAUGCGCAGGUCCUACUUCAAGUUUCAAGUCAUUGCCACCGACGACUACGGAGCAGGGCUCAGCAGCAGUGCUGAAGUGGUGGUUUCUGUGGUCAACGCCUUGGACAUGCAAGUUGUUGUGUCCACCGUGCCGCCCACUUUAGUGGAGGAGAAGAAGGACGAGCUCAUUAGUAUUUUGGAGCGCCACGUCCAGGACCAGAUUCCGGGUGCCAAGGUGAUAGUAGAGUCCAUCGGCCCCCGUCGUCAUGGCGAUGGCUUUGAGCUAGAGGACUACACUAAAUCCGACCUGAUGGUCUACGCCAUUGACCCCCUCACAAACAGGGCCAUCUCUCCCAAGGAGCUCUUCAAAUUCCUCGAUGGCAACGUCCUGGAAAUCAAUAAGGAGUUCCAGCCGUAUCUGGGGGAAGGCGGCCGCAUCCUGGAGAUCCGCUCCCCCGACAUCGUGGCCAGCGUGAAGAAGGCCGCCCAGGCCGUGGGCUACACGGAGGGGGCGCUCCUGGCCCUGGCCAUCAUCAUCAUCCUCUGCUGCAUCCCCGCCAUCCUCAUCGUCAUGGUCACCUACAAACAGCGACAGGCAGAGUGUGCCAAAACUGCCCGGAUUCAGAUGGCUUUACCACCAGGAGGGAAAGCACCUGCAGCCGCUGCCCCCACCGCAAACCUGUAUGAGGAGCUGGGCGACGGUAGCAUGUUUUUUCUUCUUCUUCACCUCCUCUUUUACUGUGGCAGGGCUAAAAAGUCUGUCAUUGAAGAGGCAGAGCGCCAACGGCUCCUUAGCACAUUCGCCUGUCGCGCCAUCACAGCCCGCAGCAACGGAGCGCUGCAGGUUAAUUUGCCCAGGUCGGAAAGCAACGUGACGUUCCUUUCCGACUGCAACCCACUCACCACUCGCAACCCCCUCUAUGAUGACAGCAGUCCCAGCAGUCCUGAUGUCUUUGCACAGAGGCGCGGCUUGCCUGAAAAGCGAUGGACCGCCUCCCCUUCCUAUUCACCCGGGUCGGGGGGGUUCAGAUCAGUGCCUGCUCGCAUUCACAGUGGACUGCCGGGUUGCGAGGGGCCAAGGAGGCAAGCUCUUAUGGACCCAGACGAUUGGGAGGCAUCAGAAGCCAGGAAAAGGCUGCAGAGUUUCAAUACACUUCAGCUAGGAGACAACACAGACACCAAGCUGUCCGUCCGUCAGCAGGCCAAGCAGUUUGAGCAGAAGGUCAUCCAGGAUCAAACCCUCAGGCAGAGCAGAGACUCCCCCAGUUCUCUUCCAUCCAUCAUUUUCAGGAACAGAAACAGUGACUCUGUAGUAGAGCUGCCCUCAGAAACCCUGCUCUCCAUCCUGGACCACAGCACGGCAACUGUGGGCAGGGACGCCCCACCAGUGGUUGUCGUAUCCCAGGACCCACCAGAGGAUCCUCCGCCUCCCCCUCCAGAACGGCCACCUCCCUCCUCCCCAAAAACAUCCCCUCCUUAUAGUCUGCCAUCUACCCCUCCUUUACCCUCCCAUCUCCACAAACCCGAGUGCCCCCUUCAGCCGCCUCCUGGAUCCAGCAGCCAGGGGUCCCCCCCAACACCACCACCGCUCCCCCCACCACUCUCCCCAGCGAGCAAUCAGCUGUGCCAGCUUCUCCAGUUUGUUCCAGCAUCUCUGCCGCCGGUGUCCUCACUGCGUCCCGUCUCGCAGCGAAAACACCCCCCUCCUCCUGAGUCAUCUCAAACUGACUGUGGGAGGAAAAAGGAGCUCAAAGGGAUCCUGAAAAACAUCCAGAAUCUCGCUGACAUAGAGAGGUCCAUUGCCAACAUGUACAGCCAAGUAGACAAAAACUACAAGGUGCCCAAGCUUCAUCCUAAACCACAAGUGACUGAAGAAUCCGAAGACACCGAAAGUACUCAAAGAAAUACACACUGCGAUAUUGAAAUCACCAUUUCAUGCAAAUAA